UAAUACGUAGGGUGCAAGCGUUGUCCGGAAUUAUUGGGCGUAAAGAGCUCGUAGGCGGUCUGUCGCGUCUGCUGUGAAAACUCAGGGCUUAACCCUGAGCUUGCAGUGGGUACGGGCAGACUAGAGUGCGGUAGGGGAGACUGGAAUUCCUGGUGUAGCGGUGAAAUGCGCAGAUAUCAGGAGGAACACCGGUGGCGAAGGCGGGUCUCUGGGCCGUAACUGACGCUGAGGAGCGAAAGCAUGGGGAGCGAACAGGAUUAGAUACCCUGGUAGUCCAUGCCGUAAACGUUGGGCGCUAGGUGUGGGGCUCAUUCCACGAGUUCCGUGCCGCAGCUAACGCAUUAAGCGCCCCGCCUGGGGAGUACGGCCGCAAGGCUA
rnacentral:rRNA from 1 species